rnacentral:lncRNA from 1 species
GCUCUGGGCCAUCUUCCAACCCUGGCAACUGCUUAGAAUCAGAAGCUUCCUGUAUCCUGACAUCAGUGUUUAUAUAGAGAAGAAAUAAAAAUGUCAACUAAUACCAAGAAAGGACAGCCAAACCCAACACUCCUUACUUUAAUGGCAAGAUGCCGCUCCAUUGUGUUUGAGCUUAUUGUGGUGGUUUUUUAAAAAAAGAAUAAGACUUUGAAAGGGAGGAGCUGCCUGCUGCUGCCUGCAUACUAAAAAUUUUGUGGACUGUGACUGGGUGACUUGACCUUGACACUUUGGAAUAGUUACGGCUAAUGGGGUAGAUAAACCUGAGAAAAGCCAAGUUAAAGACAAAAGAGGCUCCAAAGACCAACUUUUGAAGAGUCGGUGAUGCAUAAGUUAACAGAAAUAAGAACAGAUGUUAAAGGAACCCAGCAGAAUGUACAAGAGCUAAAACAAGAAUUUACAGAUUUUAAAUCAGGUUUUCAAGAGGUCAGGGAAGAAGUUGCUGAUCACGAUAAAAAGACUGAUGGAAUUGGAAACAGUGAGAGUACUUGAUGUGGAGAGGACCCAACAGGAGGCGCUUAAUGCAAUUGCCUUUUUACAGAUGAAGGAACGUGAGAACCAACUGAGAGUGAGAGGCACACCUCAAUUGGAACAAGAUAAUCUUAAGGAUUGGCUAACUGAGGAGUUUGCAGCCUGCUGGGAUCUGGAAAAAGACGAGUUAAGUUCCUGGAUUGAGAUGGCCUAUAGGUUUGGGCCUAAGAAAGAUUCAAAAGUGGUAUAUGACUGUAUACUGGUUUUCAAGACAAAGGAACAGAGAGACAGGAUUUUGAGCCUACAUUACAAAAAAGGUCGGAAGAUAAAAGACAAGCCAAUUGUUUUAUUCAAGGAGAUUCCAAAACACUUUUUGAAUUUAAGGAACAAUUACGCGGACCUGGCUGGAGCUCUGAGAAGGAAGAAUAUCUUCUUCAGGUGGGAGUUCCCAGAGGGCCUAUCCUUCAAAUUUCAAGGAAGGAAACAAAGAAUUAAGACUGUUGAAUAAAAAAUGAGGGUUUUGGGGAGGAAAAUGUUGAGGAACUUUGAUUGGAAAGUCCACAGGCAUCAGGGGCAGGUGCGGGAGCUCCCUAAUAUCACAAGAUGACACUGAGAAUUUACUCUUGGAAUGUUAACGGCUUGAACUCACGACUUGAACUCACCAGAUUACAUAGAAAAGUACUUCAGAAUAAAAGACUUGGACAGGAAUUCAUUUCAUCGGACAAAGUGAAGAAAAGAGGAGUAGUCUUCUAUUAAAGUAAAAUGGAAUCCUAGAAUGUUUAAAGAUGAGGAGGGAAGAUAUAUUGCAGUAGAAGACAAGGCACAAGGCGAGAAAUAUUUGCUCUUGGGAAUUUAUGCACCAAAUGAUGGCAAAGCGGAAUUUUUUAAGAAUCUGGAAACAAGACUUCUGGAUUAUAUGGAUUACAAAUUGAUUUUGAUGGGAGAUUUGAAUGGUGUCGCAUCAAUGCUUAUGGAUAGAACACAGAGACAGAAAGUUAUGAAUUCUGGCAGACUACAGAAGGUCUUUUUUGAAAUGGUGGACAAAUUUGAUCUGUCAGACAUAUGGAGAGUGAGAAAUCCAACAGAAAAAGCCUUCACAUUCUAUGCCGAUGCAAAUCAAUCAUUCUCAAGAAGUGACUAUUUAUGGAUAUCCAGAGACAUUGUUCCCAGAGUAACAAAGUUGAAAUAUGCCCAGACUCUGAUUAUAAUGCUGUGUUAUUGGAAAUGAAAAUAUUUCUGCAGGGAUCCUUCAGAUGGAGAAUGAAUGAUGAUUUGUUGAGGAAUGAACAGACGAUUGGGAAAGCCUAAAAGACUCUUAAAGAUUACUUUGAGACAAAUAUGAAUUCUGAGGUGGAAACAAGAGUCGUUUGAGAUGCAAGGAAAGCGGUGAUGAGAGGAUUCCUCAUACAACAAAAUUCGAUUAAGAAAAAGAUACAGAAUGAAAAAAUAGAUAACAUUUUGUCUCAAUUAAAAGAUAAAGAGAAGAAUUUGAGAUGUAACCCAAAGAAUGUUAGACGUUUUAAAGAAUGGCAGAAAGCAUUGUCUAAAUUUAUCUGGCGGGGGGGAAACCCCAGAAUUAAAUAUAAAAUAUUAACAGAUGCAAAAGAGAGAGGGGGAUUUUCUUUUAUUUUGAGGCAGCAGCUUUCUGCUGGAUUAAGGAAUGGAUUCAAAUAGAUAAUGCUGAUGUGUUAGAUUUGGAAGGAUUUGACAAUGUAUUUGGUUGGCAUGCAUACUUGUGGGAUGACAAGAUAUUGGCUCAUAAAGGUUUUAAAAAUCAUGUAAUUAGAAAAUCUUUAUAUAAUGUAUGGAUAAGAUAUAAAGCUCUCUUGGAAAGGAAAAGUUGGAAAGUUUACUGCAUGUACUGUAUUAAAAGAAAUAUUAUGAAAAUGCUGUAUAGAUGGUACUUAACCCCAGUGAAAUUAGCAAAGGUGUAUCAUACAAAUGAUAACUUGUGUUGGAAAUGCAAAGAAAAAGAAGGUACUUUCUAUCAUAUGUGGUGGACGUGUCCUAAGGUGAAAGACUUCUGGGAAAAGAUAUAUAAUGAGUUGAAAAAAAUGUUGAAAAAUACAUUUAUUAAAAAACCAGAAGCCUUUCUACUUGGAAUAAUAGGACUGGAAUUGCCCAAAAAAGAUGUUAGACUGUUUUUGUAUGCCACUACAGUGGCAAGACUUUUAUUAGCCAAAAAUUGGAAAUCGCAAGAGAUACCAACGAUAGAAGAAUGGCAGAUGAAGAUGUUGGACUUUUUGGAGCUGGCUGACCUGACUGGAAGAAUCCGUGACCAGAAAGGAGACACAAGAGGACUGGAAGAAAUGUAAAGACUAUUUAGCUAAAUAUUGUAAUAUAAGAUAAAGAGAAAUUUCUUGGAAGGGAUAAUUAGACCGGAGUAGAAUAAGUAUAUGUUGUUAAUAAACAUUAAGGAUUAGAAUAUUAAUAAAGGAGAAGUUGUUAGUAAAUGAAAGAAGUAAAUAUUAUUAGAAAUAUGAAUUUGGAGAACUGCUAAACAGGUGAUAUAAUGAAAUUCAGGUAGAGGGGAUUCAAGGAAGUCAGUUAUCAAUGAAAUGAAAUUAGGAUUUGGAAGUAGAAAUUCUUCUUUAUGUGUUUUUCUUUGUUUUUGUGUAUUGUAAUGUUUUUCUUUUUUCUUGUUUCUUUUUUAUGUGAUAAAUGUGAAAACCAAUACAAUUUUUUUUUGGGGGGGGGGGAGAAAGAGAACAAGGACAGGAAAGUCCAGGAGGAUAAGAAAAGAAGUAGAGUUUCCCACAACUAUAUUAUUGUACUUAAGUGCAGUUUUAUAUUUGAUGUUGAUAUUUGACUUUGUGUCUAAUAAAAAUUCAUAAAUUUG